UGGCAAUGAUGUUUGAAUUUCUUCACCUGAACACUAAAUGUGUGCUGCAGAUAACACUCGAGCUUUAUUGACCUGAGCCAA